rnacentral:rRNA from 1 species
UUAAGCGACUAAGCGUACACGGUGGAUGCCCUGGCAGUCAGAGGCGAUGAAGGACGUGCUAAUCUGCGAAAAGCGUCGGUAAGGUGAUAUGAACCGUUACAGCCGGCGAUGUCCGAAUGGGGAAACCCAGUGUGAUUCGUCACACUAUCGUUAACUGAAUACAUAGGUUAACGAGGCGAACCGGGGGAACUGAAACAUCUAAGUACCCCGAGGAAAAGAAAUCAACCGAGAUUCCCCCAGUAGCGGCGAGCGAACGGGGAGCAGCCCAGAGUCUGAAUCAGCUUGUGUGUUAGUGGAACGGUCUGGAAAGUCCGACGGUACAGGGUGAUAGUCCCGUACACCAAAAUGCACAGGCUGUGAACUCGAAGAGUAGGGCGGGACACGUGGUAUCCUGUCUGAAUAUGGGGGGACCAUCCUCCAAGGCUAAAUACUCCUGACUGACCGAUAGUGAACCAGUACCGUGAGGGAAAGGCGAAAAGAACCCCGGCGAGGGGAGUGAAAAAGAACCUGAAACCGUGUACGUACAAGCAGUGGGAGCACCUUCGGGUGUGACUGCGUACCUUUUGUAUAAUGGGUCAGCGACUUAUAUUCUGUAGCAAGGUUAACCGUAUAGGGGAGCCGCAGGGAAACCGAGUCUUAACUGGGCGUUAAGUUGCAGGGUAUAGACCCGAAACCCGGUGAUCUAGCCAUGGGCAGGUUGAAGGUUGGGUAACACUAACUGGAGGACCGAACCGACUAAUGUUGAAAAAUUAGCGGAUGACUUGUGGCUGGGGGUGAAAGGCCAAUCAAACCGGGAGAUAGCUGGUUCUCCCCGAAAGCUAUUUAGGUAGCGCCUCGUGAACUCAUCUUCGGGGGUAGAGCACUGUUUCGGCUAGGGGGUCAUCCCGACUUACCAACCCGAUGCAAACUACGAAUACCGAAGAAUGUUAUCACGGGAGACACACGGCGGGUGCUAACGUCCGUCGUGAAGAGGGAAACAACCCAGACCGCCAGCUAAGGUCCCAAAGUCACAGUUAAGUGGGAAACGAUGUGGGAAGGCACAGACAGCCAGGAUGUUGGCUUAGAAGCAGCCAUCAUUUAAAGAAAGCGUAAUAGCUCACUGGUCGAGUCGGCCUGCGCGGAAGAUGUAACGGGGCUAAACUGUGCACCGAAGCUGCGGCAGCGACACGAUGUGUUGUUGGGUAGGGGAGCGUUCUGUAAGCCUGCGAAGGUGGCCUGUGAGGGUUGCUGGAGGUAUCAGAAGUGCGAAUGCUGACAUAAGUAACGAUAAUGCGGGUGAAAAGCCCGCACGCCGGAAGACCAAGGGUUCCUGUCCAACGUUAAUCGGGGCAGGGUGAGUCGACCCCUAAGGCGAGGCCGAAAGGCGUAGUCGAUGGGAAACAGGUUAAUAUUCCUGUACUUGGUGUUACUGCGAAGGGGGGACGGAGAAGGCUAUGUUAGCCGGGCGACGGUUGUCCCGGUUUAAGCAUGUAGGCGGAGGUUCCAGGUAAAUCCGGUACCUUUUAACGCUGAGGUGUGAUGACGAGGCACUACGGUGCUGAAGUAACAAAUGCCCUGCUUCCAGGAAAAGCCUCUAAGCAUCAGGUAACAUUGAAUCGUACCCCAAACCGACACAGGUGGUCAGGUAGAGAAUACCAAGGCGCUUGAGAGAACUCGGGUGAAGGAACUAGGCAAAAUGGUGCCGUAACUUCGGGAGAAGGCACGCUGAUAUGUAGGUGAAGCCCCUGCGGGUGGAGCUGAAAUCAGUCGAAGAUACCAGCUGGCUGCAACUGUUUAUUAAAAACACAGCACUGUGCAAACACGAAAGUGGACGUAUACGGUGUGACGCCUGCCCGGUGCCGGAAGGUUAAUUGAUGGGGUUAUCCGUAAGGAGAAGCUCUUGAUCGAAGCCCCGGUAAACGGCGGCCGUAACUAUAACGGUCCUAAGGUAGCGAAAUUCCUUGUCGGGUAAGUUCCGACCUGCACGAAUGGCGUAAUGAUGGCCAGGCUGUCUCCACCCGAGACUCAGUGAAAUUGAACUCGCUGUGAAGAUGCAGUGUACCCGCGGCAAGACGGAAAGACCCCGUGAACCUUUACUAUAGCUUGACACUGAACAUUGAGCCUUGAUGUGUAGGAUAGGUGGGAGGCUUUGAAGCGUGGACGCCAGUCUGCGUGGAGCCAACCUUGAAAUACCACCCUUUAAUGUUUGAUGUUCUAACGUUGGCCCCUUAUCGGGGUUGCGGACAGUGUCUGGUGGGUAGUUUGACUGGGGCGGUCUCCUCCCAAAGAGUAACGGAGGAGCACGAAGGUUAGCUAAUCCUGGUCGGACAUCAGGAGGUUAGUGCAAUGGCAUAAGCUAGCUUGACUGCGAGCGUGACGGCGCGAGCAGGUGCGAAAGCAGGUCAUAGUGAUCCGGUGGUUCUGAAUGGAAGGGCCAUCGCUCAACGGAUAAAAGGUACUCCGGGGAUAACAGGCUGAUACCGCCCAAGAGUUCAUAUCGACGGCGGUGUUUGGCAC